CACUUUGACAUUUCAAUCGGUGAACUUUAUUAAUCAUCUUCACCACGCCUCUUCGCCACCUCCAACGGAAACGUCCUAGAUGGUUAUUCGCAGAAGAGAGCAGCUUUUUUAAGAAUUCCUGUUUAAAACUUUUGUCCGCAGUUGUACGUGUGUAUGGGUAGAUUUCUAUGUAUUCUCUAAUAUUGCGCUUUAAUAAUGGGAUUGUCCAGACUCCGUGCCUUCAUUUCUUUGUUUCUGACUGCCGCGAAGAGGGACGCAACAAUGCGUCGUGAUAUUGCAUGGCGGCUGCAGUCGGCAUCUGCAGAACAAAAUAUAUUGCCAUUGUUUUAGGGGACGGACACUUGAACCACUGCUUCAUUUUAUACCAUUGUACUUAAAUAUUUGCGCCCUUGUCGAUGUUGAAAUCGAAUGUACACAGUACUGUAGAUGAUUUCUCAACCUGCCAGUUAUGUUCUCAGUAUUACAAAACACACAGACAGGUUCAUACAGCAUACAGAUGCACAUCGAAUGGAUUUGCGAAAUGUGUGAGCCGCGCUGAUAGGAAGAAAAUUGAGAAUUUUAUCUCUUGUGAGAUUUAACACAGAACUGUAACCGCAACGUUAUUCUGCAAGCGCUUUGUCAACGACUUCUCGUGUUUUUUCCAUAGUCACCAUGCGACAACUAUGGCUCGGGUGCAGUCUCUUAUUUUUCGCUACACCUUUCGUACUCACAAGCAUUUCUUCGAGCAUUUCGGUGGUACGCCCCCGUGGAUCCAAAUAGUGAUGGUUUUUAUCGUUACAAGCUCAACCACACAGAAAACGAUCCUGCUAAAGAUGCUAAAUAUCGAAAUGCCACGAUUAACUUUGAUCGGGUAACAUUCCCGAGCUUUCUUUUGUUACAGGUAAAGCUUGUUCACUGUCGCAACCCCCAAUUGCAACUGUUCUGUAAUUCAAUCCAUGUUUAGGUCACGCACACAGUAGCGAGAAUCCGCUAAUUCUUUCGCGAAUGAGCAUCGUGAGCAUGUCAUCAGAUAGCGAAAAACUUGAAUUGUAGCGGUCACUCACUUUUGGUCUAGGAGCUUAGAUCAAGUGAAGAUAUUUGUUAAACCGACAGUUACAUUUAGUUUCUUUUUUUUAUGCAAUGAAUGUGCAUUCGUUCGCCGACUCUUCAUUCGUAUUAAGAAUAUUUCAACACUAUUUAUUACAAAACCCAAGGAAUUCAAGGCAGCUGUCAGUAAGAAAUAUAUGGUAUCGUAUAAUUAUAAAAAGGUAUUGUAGAAUGUAUGCGCUGUAUAACGUCGGGGCUACUAGCAAGUCAUCAAACUCGAAUUCGUAGUUUAAACAUUUCACAGUGGCCAAAAAAACUGAGAUCUGAACGCAAUCUUGUUUCUGCUUUCAGCUUACAAAAGUACAUCAAACAUUGUUUAUCCCUUGCUACUGAAUCUGCCGUAUUGAAGCCAGCAAAAAUGCACACGCUCUAAAAAUAUGCUUAAUACGAAUUUUAACGCGAUAGCCUUACAGAGCUCGUAUCGCAGAAAUUCCGCCGUCUUCGUCGGUGUCGGCGCCGUUGGCUGUGAGCGAAAAAUCAUCUUGUCGGUGACCGAAAAAUCGAAAAAGCUGCAAAUAAAAUAAAUAAUAAAAAUGUUGGGUCCGAAUGAGAAUCGAAUCGAAUCCAGGCGGUCUGCGUGGCAAGCAGGUGUUCUACCAUACAGCCACGCCUCUGCUUGGAACGACACUGAAAGUAACUUUCAUACUUCCCAAAAAUACGCGUCCUGUGUACAGGUGUCACAGUACGAGAUGUAAAAUCGCAGUAAUAUUGCGUGAUACAAGCGUACAUUGCCAUCGGGCGUCACACCAUGUCACUAUCAUAAAGACUUGGUGGUGCAAAGACAGCCACCCAUUGCAAAAGGCAGACAUUACUGCGCGUAUCCCCUUAAGACCACGUAGUGGGUGCAUCGCAACUUCGAAAAAGUUUCUCGCGCAUAAUUGCUCCUGGUUUAAAGCAUGCUACCUAUUACAUAAGGCGCACACCUUAGUGCGCGCAUUCUCUUAAACACUCGUAGGGUUCGAAGUGCGCACUAGGGGCAGGGUAUGGCUAUCGCGUUCAACUCUUAAAGGCGAAGCUUAAGUGUACCCCAAUUAUUAAAGACGAUAGUCUUUCUUGGGAUACUUAAACGGAGAAAUUUUGGUCUGUCUUUCUGUCUGUCUUUCUGUUUGUCGGCACGUCACUCGAUUCACCUACUGGGCCAAAGUCGAACCACUUGCCCAAGGGCCAGCCAUCUUGAACGGCUGACUAGGUUCAUACUUGUGUACAUUGUCGAUCAAAAAGCAAACAUUACGCAUAUCUGAGGCGCAACAUCACUAGGUAAGUAUUAGAUGGUGUGUUCCUUUAUUAGAAAAUGCCUACAUACGUAAUUCUAAAGACCCUAGUUUCUUAAGCUGCGCUGAAAAUGCGACUGCACUGAAACUUGCCUUCCUCCGUGCCCUCUGCACGAGCUCAUUGUUGUGUUUCGGUUUCGGUUCUGUAUUG